GGCUGAUUUCGUGGGGAGCAAGGGGGGAGGAGAUUUCCGCGAAAACUUGACCAAUCUUCGCGCAGUUCGUCCCUACUUCUAGGUAUCGAGGUUCGCAAUUUCCAUGCCCAACUUCUACUCACGAAGGCGAUGGAGAUCCUUCCGCCGAGGCAUAGCUACUCGAGUUGGAGAUCGAGUUGUAAGCGGUGGAGUAGAGGUAUGAGAAGCAGCUUUGCUUCUCUUCUUGUGGAUUAUGUUGGAGUCUCUUUUACUUUAUGAGAACUCUGUUAUUAAAGUCUUGCUUCCGCCACUGUUAAAGUGCGCAUGUUUAUUCUGAACCUUACUUAUGGUAUUGUAAACUAUUAUUACUGUAUAUCGGGAAACAAGUUAUCUAAAUAAAGUUAUGGUAUGUUUCCAACCUUUUAGCCGAAGUGUUUAGUUGUUUUACAGAAAAAA